AUGGGGUGUGCUCGUCGAAGCUGGAUAAGAAGCAAUGUAAAAGUGUGCGUGAUUCCUUUUGAAGAAUUGGAAAAGUGGGAUAUUGCAUUCUAUCAAACAGACCUAUGUGCAACUGAAUGCGGAAUUCAUGAGCCGCGGGCAUGCGGCAAGAGCCUUGUGGACAGGGCUCAUGAGUUAAAGCGCCCCGACGUCGAGCUCUACGUCGGUUCGAGCCCGGUCGUCACCGCUGACGUCACUGGCGCUUUAUAUUCCCCAUUCAUUCUUAUGGCCCGACCACUAACGAGCACAAGAAACAAUGUAAAAGUGGAUAUAGUUCCUUUUGAGAAAAUUGAAAAGCGGGAUUUGACAUUAAAUCAGAAGGAGCUAAGCGCCAAAAUAUGCUAACUCAUGAGCCGCGUGCAUGGCAAGAGAGCGUUGUGGACAGGGCUCAUGAGUUAAAGCGCCCCGACGACGGAUCUCCCGUUGCGCAUCCGCUUCUUCAUUGCCGCUGACGUCACUGGCGCUUUAUAUUCCCCAUUCAUUCUUAAGGCCCGACCACUAACGAGCACACCCCAUCUUUCCACUUCCACAUAUCUCCUUUUCGCAUGAAUACGUCCAAAUGAAGGGUUCGCAUCUAUUAAUGAAACCUAAGUCAAGCGGGGAUGGCCUGAUUCCCAAUGCUCUCCCGCGGUGAUCAUCAGUUUCCGAUUUUCUCUUGGCUGCGUGGGGAAAAACGCGAUUGGUGGCGCAGAGUAAGAAAAGAAAAUAAUAAAGUAAGAAUAAAAAGGAGAACAAGAACUUCACUCCAUGAAGCCGAUGACACUGUCCGAUGAACGAAUGCGAUAAUCACCACCAAAAUUAAACCUGCAUUCUUAAAAAUCGAGGAGUGGGAUUCGGUGCUGGGCGGAGUCUAUACACCGCCCAAAAAACCCAGGUAAAAUGAGAGAGAAAUAAUUUUAGCACGACACUCUGGAAAAAGAGUAUCUUAUGCUCGGUAUAAUAAUGUAAGUCCUUAGAUUCCAUUUCGCAUUCACGCACCAAUCGAGGUUUUGGGGCGCACGUAGACUCCAAGAUUGAAUUUUGAAGUCACUUUAAAUGAGUGUUUUGUGCAAGAACGGGUAUGUCACGAAAAUAUGCCGGAAAAUCGCGAUUUUCGAGCUUUUCACGGUUAUAAAACCGCUCCCACUAGACCUAAAAAGAAAAAAGCGGCAUCAUUUUGGUCUAUAAAGUAAUCAGCAUUAAUUCUUAAGGUAUUGCAAACCUGAAAUUUUGCGAAAGAACGAAUUUAUUUCACGAAAAUGGCGGAAAACCGUGGAAAAUCGCGAUUUUACGAGUUUCAGAGCUUUCCACGGCUCCAGCGCUUUCCCUAAUGAAGCUAUGGAAAAAACGUUCAAAUUAUUUUUAUAGGAAAUUUUUAUCAGCUUUAAUUAUGAAAAUAACUAUUUUCUCGAUACAUUGCACUGGGAAAGAGAUAUCUCGAAAAAACCGCGGAAAAACGUGAUUUUUCGCGGUUUUUCCGAUUUUCCGGAGUUAGCACAAGAAAAAUUUGUUGGGAAACCAAAAAUUCGGAUUCAGCGUGAAAAAUUACAUAUGAAUCAAUCAUAACCUGAUUUCACCUAAAUUUUGCAAGGUAAAAUCCUUUAUUGCCUGGACUAAUGUUUGAGUGUGCAGUUUGGCAUACAAGCCCUACCUAAAUGUAGUAGUCCAGUCAUUCUAGCUUUUUACCUCGGACAAAUUAGCACAAACUUUUCCUUUGGUAUAUAGGGUCUCUAGGUACCCAAUAAGACAGAAAAAAA
rnacentral:lncRNA from 1 species